GCAUCCAGCAAGAACUAGGAACUGUGAUAUGUGUGGUAAUGGCCGCUUUUGAUGCUCUUCACAUCACAGUCUGAGUUCUUGCUCGAUGG
rnacentral:pre_miRNA from 1 species